rnacentral:lncRNA from 7 species
GCGCUCGAACGAGCGGUCCCAGACGGUGGGGUCAUGUCCAUGAGCGCGCAGCGGGAGGAGGUUCGCUGACGAGCGGGACCACCGGUCAGCGACGUUAGGAAUGUCUGGUUGUGACACCGGUCACGGGGGGUCGUAAACUGGGCCCGUAGGUCAGAGGAGGUCGCACGUGGUUGUGACACCGAGAAGCGAGCCCCGCAUGGCAGAGACCGCAAUGGAAGAUUUGAGCCGGCCGAAGGUGGGCUGGCGGUGGAAUGUCUGGUUGGGCCCGCGCGGGAGAGAGUUGGGCCCAACAAUGCUGAGAGGAGAAAAUGGCCUACGGGUUUGAUUCUUCUUUUAUUUUUUUCAGUUUCCUUUUCUUUUCCUUUUCUAUUUUCUUUUCAGAUUUUUGUUUUCUAAUUUCCAAAUUGAAUUGUAAAUAUAUUUUGUAUUUUCAAACUCAUAUAAGAUGCACAAUAAAAAACUCAGCAUGUGAU